rnacentral:pre_miRNA from 1 species
CUUAUACUCCCUCCGUUCGGAAUUACUUGUCGCAAAAAUGGAUGUAUCUAGAUGUAUUUUAGUUCUAGAUACAUCCAUUUCCGAGACAAGUAAUUCCGAACGGAGGGAGUAUAUG